rnacentral:rRNA from 1 species
UACGUAGGGGGCUAGCGUUGUCCGGAAUCAUUGGGCGUAAAGCGCGCGUAGGCGGCCCGGUAAGUCCGUUGUGAAAGUCGAAGGCUCAACCUUCGAAAGCCGAUGGAUACUGCCGGGCUAGAGUACGGAAGAGGCGAGUGGAAUUCCUGGUGUAGCGGUGGAAUGCGCAGAUAUCAGGAGGAACACCAAUAGCGAAGGCAGCUCGCUGGGACGUUACUGACGCUGAGGCGCGAAAGCGUGGGGAGCGAACAGG